rnacentral:rRNA from 1 species
GAUGAACGCUGGCGGCGUGCCUAAUACAUGCGAGUCGAGCGAACAGACGAGGAGCUUGCUCCUCUGACGUUAGCGGCGGACGGGUGAGUAACACGUGGAUAACCUACCUAUAAGACUGGGAUAACUUCGGGAAACCGGAGCUAAUACCGGAUAAUAUAUUGAACCGCAUGGUUCAAUAGUGAAAGACGGUUUUGCUGUCACUUAUAGAUGGAUCCGCGCCGCAUUAGCUAGUUGGUAAGGUAACGGCUUACCAAGGCAACGAUGCGUAGCCGACCUGAGAGGGUGAUCGGCCACACUGGAACUGGGACACGGUCCAGACUCCUACGGGAGGCAGCAGUAGGGAAUCUUCCGCAAUGGGCGAAAGCCUGACGGAGCAACGCCGCGUGAGUGAUGAAGGUCUUCGGAUCGUAAAGCUCUGUUAUUAGGGAAGAACAAAUGUGUAAGUAACUAUGCACGUCUUGACGGUACCUAAUCAGAAAGCCACGGCUAACUACGUG